UAAAAAAUUUGGCGGUAUUUUAGUCUAUUCAGAGGAACCUGUCUUAUAAACGAUAAUCCACGAUGGACCUUACUUAAAUUUGUAUAGUUUAUAUACCGUCGUUAUUAGAAUAUUUUAAAAGAAUAAUAAUUUUCAUAAUUUUUUAAUAAAAAAUAUAUCAGAUCAAGGUGUAGCUAAUAUUUAAGUAAAGAUGGGUUACAAUAAAUUUAUUUAUACGAAUAUAAAUAUGAAAAAUUUAUUGAAGGAGGAUUUGAUAGUAAAAUUAUAAAGAUUAAUAAUUUGAUUUUAGCUCUAAAAUAUGUACAUAUCGCCCGUCGCUCUUAUUAUUAAGGUAAGAUAAGUCGUAACAUAGUAGAUGUACUGGAAAGUGUAUCUAGAAUGCAAUUUAAAGCUUUUUUAGUAAAGUAUUUCAUUUACAUUGAAAUGAUUAUUGUGCAAUUCAAUAUAAAUUGAUUAGAUUUUAUUUAUUAAUUUGUUUUAAAUUUUAUUUAAUUUAUUAAAAAUAAUUAUUUUUUUUUUUGUUUUAGUAUUAUAUUAAGAAAAAAUAAGUUUUAUUAUAGUUUAUUAGUAUUGUGAAAGAAAAUUGAAAUA
rnacentral:rRNA from 1 species